rnacentral:rRNA from 1 species
GCGGACGGGUGAGUAACACGUGGAUAACCUACCUAUAAGACUGGGAUAACUUCGGGAAACCGGAGCUAAUACCGGAUAAUAUUUUGAACCGCAUGGUUCAAAAGUGAAAGACGGUCUUGCUGUCACUUAUAGAUGGAUCCGCGCUGCAUUAGCUAGUUGGUAAGGUAACGGCUUACCAAGGCAACGAUGCAUAGCCGACCUGAGAGGGUGAUCGGCCACACUGGAACUGAGACACGGUCCAG